rnacentral:rRNA from 1 species
GCAUAUCAAUAAGCGGAGGAAAAGAAACCAACAGGGAUUGCCCUAGUAACGGCGAGUGAAGCGGCAACAGCUCAAAUUUGAAAUCUGGCUCUUUCAGAGUCCGAGUUGUAAUUUGCAGAGGGCGCUUUGGCUUUGGCAGCGGUCCAAGUUCCUUGGAACAGGACGUCACAGAGGGUGAGAAUCCCGUACGUGGUCGCUAGCUAUUGCCGUGUAAAGCCCCUUCGACGAGUCGAGUUGUUUGGGAAUGCAGCUCUAAAUGGGAGGUAAAUUUCUUCUAAAGCUAAAUAUUGGCCAGAGACCGAUAGCGCACAAGUAGAGUGAUCGAAAGAUGAAAAGCACUUUGGAAAGAGAGUCAAACAGCACGUGAAAUUGUUGAAAGGGAAGCGCUUGCAGCCAGACUUGCUUGCAGUUGCUCAUCCGGGCUUUUGCCCGGUGCACUCUUCUGUAGGCAGGCCAGCAUCAGUUUGGGCGGUGGGAUAAAGGUCUCUGUCACGUACCUCUCUUCGGGGAGGCCUUAUAGGGGAGACGACAUACCACCAGCCUAGACUGAGGUCCGCGCAUCUGCUAGGAUGCUGGCGUAAUGGCUGUAAGCGGCCCGUCUUGAAACACGGACCAAGGAGUCUAACAUCUAUGCGAGUGUUUGGGUGUCAAGCCCGAGCGCGUAAUGAAAGUGAACGGAGGUGGGAACCCGCAAGGGUGCACCAUCGACCGAUCCUGAAGUUUACGGAAGGAUUUGAGUAAGAGCAUGGCUGUUGGGACCCGAAAGAUGGUGAACUAUGCUUGAAUAGGGUGAAGCCAGAGGAAACUCUGGUGGAGGCUCGCAGCGGUUCUGACGUGCAAAUCGAUCGUCAAAUUUGGGCAUAGGGGCGAAAGACUAAUCGAACUAUCUAGYAGCUGGGUUCCUGCCGAAG